CUGAGGUGCAGAGAAGGAAAUGUUUUUGCUUAGUUGUUGCCGUCUGUGGUUAUAGAGUUACAGGGAAGCCAACAACAGCAGUGCAGCAGUAGUUCUGAGAAAAUGGGCUGAGUGACUUACUGCCUGUUGGUUCAGAGCCGCAAAUCUGUUUUCUAAAGUGCAGCUGGGAUAAAGCUACAGGAUAAUGUGCUGCUUUUUACCUGCUCCCUGGCCCUUUAUUGGGCCCCAGGAGAGGGAUGCUGGGUCAGGAGAGGAAUAAGAGAAGCUCAGAUGCCAGACUCUCUGUAUGCUGCGGGCCGGGCAGCUGCAAGAUAGACUGAGCUUGAAGCUUGAGUAUAACAUGAAGGAGGGGAUUUUCACCAGGCAGGUGUAAAUGUGGCGCUGGAGAUCAGAAGACAUACCAGGAUUCCCAGGGACAUCCAGUUAUGAAACUCAUUUCUAAAAGGGACAGAAGCGGAUUUCUUGACACUGAGCUCUAUGGAGGAUGCAGGGAGGCCAUUAAUUGGAGGCCUUGGUACAAUCGGUUGCAGUAAGCUGCUAUAGUCGGGCAUUCAGACCUGUUGUUCCAGGCUUCUUAUUCCAAACCACAUCAGAAUCACUGGGGACCUUGAGACGAAAAGAAGUUCUUGAUGGUCCAGAACAGUUAUGUCGUUGUUGGUGGCGGUGGUGAUAUGGGUCAUGAAUACUGAUGAAUCCCAAGAUCAGCAGGCAAGAUGGUGUGUAAGCUACUAGCUCAAGUCCCAAGAACUGGAGGUCAGAUGAACAGGAGCCAGCUGCAGGAUCCAUAGUGGGCAAAAACCCGAGAGCAACGCUGGAGUCCACCUAUAUUUGACGCAGGCCAUAUGCUCAAGAUUCUGUGAUUCUCCAUCAGAUGUCAGCAUAGCAAGAAACCUUCUUCUCACGCACCAAAGACUUCCUACCUGGAGAUCUGCCCUUUUCCAGCCGAGCUGAAGUAGAGUUGAGAAAAAGACUCUCUACUGUAUUAGAAGAUCCUUAGGGGCAAGAACUGUAUCAAUACAAUUGAGAUAUUUCAACAAAGGGAUGCAGCACUGGGGAUCCUCACUAAUCUGUGCCAAGAAAUUUGGAAGACAGCUACCUGGCCAACUGACUGGAAGAUAUCCAUAUUUAUGCCCAUUCCAAAGAGAGCUGAUCCAACAGAAUAUGGAAAUUAAUGAUGGCAAUGGGUUUGGUUUUUUUUGUUUAUCAUUAAUAUUACAUGCAAGUAAAAUUUUGCUGAAGAUAAUUCAAAUAUGGUUGCAGCAGUACAUCAACAGAGAGCCACCAGAAGUUCAAGCCAGGUUUAGAAGAGGACGUCAAACCAGGGAUAUCAGUGCUGAUGUCAGAUGGUCUUGGCUGAAAGCAAAGAAUACCAUAAAGAUGUUUAAAAAAAAAAAUGCAAAGGCAUUUGACUGUGUGAAUCAUAACAAAUUAUGGAUACAAUUGUGAAGAAUGGGAAUUCCGGAAUGCUUAAUUGUGUUCACGUGGAACCUGUACUUAGACCAAUGCAGUGGUUCGAACAGAGCAAAGGAUACUGCAUGGUUUAAAAUCAAGAAAGAUGUGUGUCAGGGUUGCAUCCUUUCAUCAUACUUAUUCAAUCUGUAUGCUGAGCAGACGGUCUGAGAAGCUGGAUUAUAUGAAGAAGAAUGUGGCAUCAGGAUUGGUGGAAGACUCAUUAACAGCCUGCAAUAUGCAGAUGACACAACCUUGCUUGCUGAAAGCAAAGAGAACUCGAAGUACUGACUAAUGAAGAUCAAAGACUACAGCCUUCAGUGUGGAUUACACCUCAACAUAAAGAAAACAAAAAUCCUCACAACUGGACCAAAAAGCAACAUCAUGAUAAAUGGAAAAAAGAUUGAAGUUGCCAAGGAUUUCAUUUUACUUGUAUCCACAAUCAAUGCCCAUGGAUGCAGCAGUCAAAAAAUCAAAAAAUGCAUUGCGUUGGGCAAAUCUGCUGCAAAAGACCUCUUCAUAGUGUUAAAAAUAAAGAUGUCAUUUUGAGGACUAAGGUGCGCCUGACCCAAGCCAUGAUAUUUUCAAAGGCAUCAUAUACAUGGGAAAGCAAUAAGGAAGACCUAGAAGAACUGAUGCCUUUGAAUUAUGAUGUUGGUGAAGAAUACUGAAUAUACUGUGGACUGCUAGAAGAACAAACAAGCCUGUCUUGGAAGGAAUACAACCAGAAUGCUCAUUGAAAGCAAGGAUAGUGAGACUUCAUCUAAUGUACUUUGGACAUGCUAUCAGGAGGGACCAUUCCUGGAGAAGGACAUCAUACUUGGUAAAGUAGAGGAUCAGCAAAAAAGAGGAAGGCCCUUGAUGAAAUGGAUUGACACAGUGGCUGUAACAAUAGGAUCAAAUAUAAUGAUUGUGAGGACGACGCACAGGUACACAGUGUUUUGUUCUGUUGUACACAGGGUUUCUAUAAGUUGGAACUGACUGGAUGGCACCUAACAACAGCAACAACUGCUAACGUUGUUUUCUAUGUUUGUUCCCUGGACUGUGAGAUCCUUAGGGGCAAAAACUAUCUUAUUCAUCUUCGAGCACCCAGCACCUAGUGCAAUAACUGUAGUCAAUGGAGGCUUAAAAAAAAUUUGAUGAAUGAAUAAAUUACUUGCUCUAGUGGUUGCCUUCUGUAAGAGGCAAGAAGACAUUUUUUCUUUAAUCUAUUUUCUAGGAUAAAACCAUGUUCAUUGUCAAUUUGGUUGUUUUGGGGAGCUCUUAGUCACUGAUGGCUUUUUAGUAGGCACUCUGAGUUUUGCUAUUAGACAAUUAACCUUGUGGGAUGUAAGAUUAACUUGAGUGGGGAAAGACUAGACUUGAGAUAUCAAUGAGAGAUGAUAAGGUUUUUAAGUAAUACUGAGGUCAUGGAAUUGGAAAAAUAAAAUAGAAUUAGAAUAUAAAAGAUAAACUUUACUUUCUGUAUUAUUUAUAUCUUUUGCUCAUUUUCCUACAUAUGCUUGCUUUAUUGCUACGUAAGCAUUCUUAGUAUGUUAAGCACACACUUCCUUUUUCUCAGGUUUGUAAAUAAUUUCCUAAAUUACUUGCCUUUUAGUUUUACUUGUGAUUUUUCUAAGUAUACAUUCUGUUUUGUAUGUAUGAGGCAAUCCCAGACCAGCCAUCCCCCAGUGGAGCCCUUUGUGUUUGCUACCCAUUUUGCUGAGACCUCAGGAUGAAUUCCUUAAUGUUGCAUCGUCUAGAUUAAGGGAUUUGUUUUACUGGAAAAAAGAAAUUUAUGAAAUCAGGGUUGCCAAGAGAGGAGAAGGCCCAGAACCAUUUUUCUUUUAUUGUUCCCAGAGAAAGGAAAGGUGUGCCAGGGCCAGGGCACUCUGCUAGACACACAGCAUGUGUCUGUGGGCCAGUGGAGGGAUCCUACCCUCUUUUCUUAUAGGCCAAGCAUGAAAAUAAACUUUGCAGUGAAGGACACAUAGAGGGUUUGGGCUGCAGACAUUGUUGAUAAAGGUGGUUGUUUUUAGUUGCUGCUGAGUUAGCUCCAACUCAUGGUGACCCUAUGUACAACAGAAGGAAACAUUACUCAGUCGUGCACCAUCUUCAUCGUCAUUUGCAUGUUUGAGUUCAUUGCUGUAAUCAUUUUGUAGUGCCUUCCAACACAGGGGACUCAUGUUCCAGCACUUCAUAGGUCAAUAUUCUGUACCGAUCCAUAGGGUUUUCACUGGCUAAUUUUCAGAAGUAAAUCAUCAGUCCUUUCUUCUUACCUUGUCUUAGUCUGGAAGCUCAGUGAAACCUGUCUACCAUGGGUGACACUGCUGGUAUUUGAAAUACCAGUGGCAUAGCUUCCAGCAUCAAAGUAACAUACGAGACACCACAGUAUGACAAAAUGACAAAUGGGUACUGGAUUGUUAAAAAAAAAAAAAAAUCCUGCUGCCGUCAAGUCAAUUUUGACUCAUAGUGACCCUAUAGGACAGAGUGGAACUGCCCCAUAGGGUUUCCAAGGGCUGGCUGGUGGAUUUGAAUGGUCAGCCUUUUGGUUAAAAGCCAAGCUCUUAACCACCGCACCACCAUAGAUUCCUUAAUUGGAAAAUGGGAAUGAUAAUUAAAGAACCUUCAACAUAUGAUUAUUGAGAGGAUUUAACAGUUAUUGCAAGUAAUCAAUACAGUAAAAUACUGAAGGAGUGCCUGGCAUAUUAUAAGCACUCAACGUAUGUUAGUUACUAUUAUUAAGAGAACCAUGCUUUUUUUUUUUUCUUGAAUAUUUCAAAGGUCAUAUACAACUUAAAAGCUAUAAAAACCAAUAAAAUGAUUUUUUUCUGGAAUGCCCUUUCCAGGUUUUAUUCUAUCUCCUUUGCAUAAUUCCAGUGAAAUUAUUGCAAAAUGACCUUGCUUGUCUUCCUUGCAACUAGAUAUUUGCCGAGGCUGCAUUUCCCUCAAGCUAAAGUGCCAGUAAAGAGCUGUUCGACUUUACUUUCUCCCCUCCCUGCCGUGCUGUGGGAGUUAUGUUACCAACUAUAAGGUUUUCAUAAAAUUGCUCGUUGUCAUUCCUGAGACACCUACGCCAGUGAUUAACCUAACGUGAGCAUUGCAUUGCCAAAUACCCUGAUGAGAUGUGUACAAAACUUAUAAAAUAAUUCCUUGCCUCUUCUCCAACCAGUGCUCCCAUUAGGCAAAGAAGAGGCUAGAAGUUGCUGAGGAGUGGGUGGUACAGGAGGGCUUGGAAUCUGCUCUGCUGUUUUAAAGAAUUUAUUAUCCUCUUCUCAGGUUUGAAUUUCAAAGUGUGGCCAUCCAACCAUGUGGCACUAUAGCAGACAGCUGCCCUAAGGCUGGUAGGGUGACAGUGGGUAGUGACUCAUUACAGAUCUCUAGGAUGCAGGUCAGUGAGAAUGGCUUGCCUUAGGACUCUGAGAAGGAGCAAACCCCAGAGUCCUGCUCUAGCUGUCAUUUGGUGGCAAACAUACAAGACAUUAAAUUAAAACAGACCUGGUAUUAGGGUGACCAAUUGACCUGAUUUGCCCGGGAGUAUCCUGGUUUUAGCACUGAAAGUCUGACUUCCUGAGAAACACCUUAUUCCUGGGCAAACUGGGACAUUUGGUCAACUUACCUGGCAUUAAUCUACAGCUCUGCCACUUAAAACCAGUUAUAUAAAACUUGGACAGAUUACGUAGCCUUCAAAAGCCUGUUUUCUUUUUUACGAUGUGGAAAUAAUAAUAUCGUCCCAGCAGUACUGCCAGAAUCAAAUGCAAUAUUGUCCACGAAAAUGCUUUGCAUCUUAUAAGGUACUAUACCAAUGUAAACAUAUGCAGUUAUUGUUUCAUCAGGCCACAAGAGGCUAUCUGGAGAGUUAUAGAAUGGAGGUGUUAUACAAGUUUAAAGCCCCUACCCUGAAGACUUUGCCAGAGCAACAGUGAGCCUGACUUCGAAAACAAUUCUCUCAGAAUGUGCAGAAAGAUUUGAAGGAGCUUUGUCUGUGGGGAAAGGUAGCAUGGAGAAAAGUGGGGAGUCACUGUGAUCCAUAGCUUGGAAUCUUGACAACUCUUAUUUCUGCUCUGGGGCAUACAUGCCCGCCUAAACCUUUCAUGUGGCCUGGACUAGGAUGAAUUUUUAAUUGGAGCCUGCUAUGGAUUACACCUCAACAUAAAGAAAACAAAAAUCCUUACACUGGACCAAUAAGGAACAUGCUAAACAGAGAAAAUAUUGAAGUUGUCAAAGAUUUCAUUUUACUUGGAUCCACAGUCAACGCCCAUGAAAGCAGCAGUCAACAAAUCACUGACCCCCAAUGUGCAGUUUACUUAUUUAAUUUUUCCUUUUUCUUCCUUUUCUUUCUCCCUCUCACCUAGCCCUGUAUGCCACCUUCCCCCUUGCAGCCAGACCUUGUCAUGCCUCCAUGGCUGUAGAGAGCCACCAGUUCACAGGCCCACCAUUGCCCCAGGUCUGCCCCAUCCUUACCCACGGCUCCUACCAUACAGUCAUUUUUUUUGUCCUUUUUUUGUUUUCUUUCUUCCUCCCUCCUAGCCCAGCACAUCACCUCCCUUCCCUUCCCACUGCCCCCUGGGCCCACCCUACCCACACUGGCCAGUUUCAACCACACUGCAAUUUUUUUUUUUUAAUUUUCUUUCUGUCUUAUUCUUUUCCUAUUAUUUUUUUUUCUUCUGUUUCUUUUUCCCUCCCACCUAGCCCCAUACACCACUUUUCUCCACUUCCCACCAGCCCUUGCUGUGUCACCAUUUCUUUUCAUUUCUUUCUUCUUCCCACCUAGCCCCAUAGGACACCUCGCCCCCUUUUCCCUUCAGCCCCCAGUGUGCCACCAUGGAUAGAAUGCCACUAGAGCACUGGCCUGCUGCUAUCCUGGGUCCACCCCGCUGGCCUCCUCUGAAACACUACUUAUUUUAUUAUUUUUUCUUUUGUUUUCUUCCUUUUCUUUCUACCUCCCACCUAGCCCUGUAUGCCACCUUCCCCUCCUUCCUGCCAGCCUUCAGAUCUGUCCCAUCCCUACCCUCCAACUACACUUUUUAAUCUCUCUUUUCUUCCCCCCUCACCUAGCCACAUACACCACCACCUCAUUCCCACUGGCCCUGCCAUGCCACUGCAGCUGCAGUGUCCCUGACGCUCAGGCCCACUGCUGGAAUGGACCUGUGCAGCCCUUCUCUCUCUCCAUUCAACCAGCUGCUGAACAGGGGGAUGUGAACCCAGACCACUCCCUGUAUAACACCCCUACCUAUCUGGCAAGGGGCUGUGAAAGGUCCCAUACCAUUGGACCAAAAUCAGGGGCAGACAGUGCCCACCCAGCCAUCCCUCAGCCACCUAACCAAACCAGUGUUCUGCAAAGCAGGCUUGCCAUACCUGCUGCUGGUCUGUCCACCCAGACAAGGUGGUGAGAGCUAUUGUGCCCACAGACAAACAAGCAACAAAUCACACCUGGCCUACUCACCCUGACAUAUCAAAAUAAAAAAAAAAAGCAGGAUGAAACAAAGAAACAUACAAUCAAUAAGCAAAGAAAAUAGUAUCUUAAUGUCCCAGAUACAGAAGAGCAUAUAAAAGCUUAUUUAAAAAAAGGAUAAGAAGGCUUCAGCACAUGACCAAAAUAAAGAAUCAGAUGACCUUCCAGUAGAAGAAAAGGCAAUGGAACUACCUGAACUGGAAUUCAAAAGGCUAAUAUUUAGGGCUGUCCAAGAGCUUAGAAAAGAGAUCAAAGAAAACACAGGAAAAAAAUAGAAAAAGUCAUGGAAAACACAGACAAAACCAACAAAAUCAUAGCCAAAAUCAAGGAAACCAUAGACAAAGAAAUAGAACAAUUCAGGAAAAUAAUAUAAUAACAAAACAUUAAAACAGCAACUAGAAAUCCAAAUGAUAAACAACAAAAUUUCAGAAAUGGACAGCUUGAUAGAAGGUUUUAGGAGCAAAUUGGAAACAAUUGAAGACAGAAUCAGUGAGACUGAAGACAAAUCCAUCAAGGACAAUUUAUUUGAGGAAAAAUCAGAAAAUAAUGUAGAAAAAAAAAAAAAAAAAAAAACCUAAGAAUUAUGUAGGAUACAAUCAAGAGCAAAAAUUUGCAUGUGAUCAGAGCUCCAGACCAUGGGGAGAAAAUGGGAAACAGAGAGAAAAUUGUUUGAUUUCUUGGCAGAAAACUUCCCAAAUAUCAUAAAAGAUGAAAAACUGACCAUCUAAGAAGCUCAAUGAACUCCAUAUAGGAUAGACCCAAAGUUAUGCAAACCCAUUGCUAUUGAGUCAAUUCUGACUCAUAACAACCCUAUAGGCCAAAGUAGUACUGCCCCCAUUGGGUUUCUAAGGAGCAGCUGGUGCAUUCGAACUGCUGAUCUUUUUGGUUAGUAGCCGAGCUCUUAACCACUAUGCCACACAGACAUACCAUAAUCACACUUGUCAAAACCAAAGACAAAGAAAAAACUCUGACAGCAGCUCGAGACAAAUGAAAAGUCACUUACAAAGGGGAAACAAUAAGACUAAACUCUGAUUACUUGACAGGAACUCUGCAGCAAGAAGGCACUAGGGUGACUAUAUGAAAGCUUGAAUGAAAAAAAACUGCCAAGCAAGAAUAACAUAUUUAUUAAAACUCCCUCUCAAAUAUAAUGGCAAAAUUAGAACUUUUUCAGAUAAACAGAAAUUAAUGGAAUUUGUAAAAAAACAAAGCAAAGUUACAGGAGAUAUUAAAGGGAAUCCUUUAGUUAGAGAACCAACAUUAGACACCAACCAGAGUCUGGGAUACAGGACAGCAUCAGCCAGAUUCCAACCUAGGUAAAGAACUCUCAAUAAUAAAACACAGCUAAAAGACUUAGAAGAAGGGAAAUAUCAGUCUGUAAAUGAUGAUAAUGUCAAAAAAUAAAAGGAGGAAUAAAUGGUGUAGGUAUAGAACUUACAAAUGGAGAAGUCAAGGUAGUAUCUAGUAAUAAAAGACUGGUUGAAACUUAGGAAAAUAACGGUAACUUUCAAGGUAACCACAAAGAAAGUUAACAAACCUACACAUCAGAAUUAAAAAGAAGAAAAACACAAAGACUCAGUAAACACAAAACCUGUCAUAAUGGAAGAAAAGAAAAUCCACAAACAAAAGGAACUCAGCACAGGAAAGUAAGAGAAACAAAGAAAGCAUCAUCACCAGGAUUUCUGAAUGGCUUAAAUGCACCCAUAAAGAUACAGGAGCACAGAAUGGACUUAAAAAAAAAAAAAAAAGAAGACCUAUCAAUAUGCUGUCUACAA